rnacentral:tRNA from 1 species
GGCCCCGUCGUCUAGUCAGGUCUAGGACACCGGCCUUUCACGCCGAUAACACGGGUUCGAAUCCCGUCGGGGUCACUA